CAGCAGCCGCGGGAAUACGAGGGGGGCAAGCGUUGUUCGGAAUUAUUGGGCGUAAAGGGUGCGUAGGCGGUUUGGCAAGUUUGGUGUGAAAUCUUCGGGCUCAACUCGAAGUCUGCAUCGAAAACUGCCGGGCUUGAGUAUGGGAGAGGUGAGUGGAAUUUCCGGUGUAGCGGUGAAAUGCGUAGAUAUCGGAAGGAACACCUGUGGCGAAAGCGGCUCACUGGACCAUAACUGACGCUGAUGCACGAAAGCUAGGGGAGCAAACAGGAUUAGAUACCCCGGUAGUCCCUGUCUCUUAUAA
rnacentral:rRNA from 1 species